rnacentral:rRNA from 1 species
UUCGCAAUGCCCGAAAGGGUGACGAAGCGACGCCGCGUGUGGGAAGAAGGCCUUCGGGUUGUAAACCACUGUCGGGAGUUAAGAAAUGCAAGGAUAUUAAUAGUGUCUUUGUUUGACUAAGGCUGGAGAGGAAGCGCCGGCUAACUUCGUGCCAGCAGCUGCGGUAAUACAAAGAGCGCGAGCGUUGUUCGGAAUCACUGGGCUUAAAGGGCACGUAGGCGGGGGGAUAAAUCAAGGGUGAAAUCCCAAUUCUCAAUGUUGGAACUGCCCUUGAUAAUGUCCUUCUUGAGUGCAGGAGGGGAGAGCGGAACUCUUGGUGGAGCGGUGAAAUGCGUAGAUAUCAAGGGGAACGCCGGCGGCGCAAGCGGCUCUCUGGACUGCUACUGACGCUGAGGUGCGAGAGCUAGGGGAGCAAAAAGGAUUAGAUACCCUUGUAGUCCUAGCUGUAAACGAUGGGCACUAAGUAGAGGGGUUUU